UCACGUCUUACGACGGCAGUUUCAGUAGAGUUCCCGGCGUUACCCGAUGGCAACUACUGAUGGGGGUUGCGCUCGUUGCGGGACUUAACCCAACAUCUCACGACACGAGCUGACGACAGCCAUGCAGCACCUGUCACUCAUCCAGCCGAACUGAAGGAAUCCAUCUCUGGAAUCCGCGAUGAGGAUGUCAAACGCUGGUAAGGUUCUGCGCGUUGCUUCGAAUUAAACCACAUGCUCCGCUGCUUGUGCGGGCCCCCGUCAAUUCUUUUGAGUUUUAGCCUUGCGGCCGUACUCCCCAGGCGGAACACUUAAUGCGUUAGCUCCGGCACAGACAGACUGAACUGCCCACACCAAGUGUGCAUCGUUUAGGGCGUGGACUAC
rnacentral:misc_RNA from 1 species